rnacentral:rRNA from 1 species
AGAACGAACGCUGGCGGCAGGCUUAACACAUGCAAGUCGAACGCUCCUAGCAAUAGGGGAGUGGCAGACGGGUGAGUAACGCGUGGGAACAUACCCUCCGGUUGGAAUAACUCAGGGAAACUUGAGCUAAUACCGGAUACGGCCUUUAGUCGAAGGAUUGGCGGCGAAAGAUUUAUCGCCGGAGGAUUGGCCCGCGUCCGAUUAGCUAGUUGGUGUGGUAAUGGCGCACCAAGGCGACGAUCGGUAGCUGGUCUGAGAGGAUGAUCAGCCACAUUGGGACUGAGACACGGCCCAAACUCCUACGGGAGGCAGCAGUGGGGAAUAUUGGACAAUGGGCGCAAGCCUGAUCCAGCCAUGCCGCGUGAGUGAUGACGGCCUUAGGGUUGUAAAGCUCUUUCGCUCGGGACGAUAAUGACGGUACCGAGAUAAGAAGCCCCGGCUAACUUCGUGCCAGCAGCCGC